rnacentral:rRNA from 1 species
AUUCCAGCUCCAAUAGCGUAUAUUAAAGUUGUUGCAGUUAAAAAGCUCGUAGUUGGAUUUCUGUUCUCGAGGAUCGGUCCGCCUCACGGUGAGCACUGGUUUUUCUUGGGGACAUCCUCUCGAAGGCGGGUGGUGCUCUUAACCGAGUGUCUAGCGAUGCUGGCAGGUUUACUUUGAAAAAAUUAGAGUGCUCAAAGCAGGCUUUUACGCCUGAAUAUUCGUGCAUGGAAUAAUAGAAUAGGAAGUCGUUUCUAUUUUGUUGGUUUUCGGAAAUCGACUUAAUGAUUAAUAGGGACAGUCGGGGGCAUUUGUAUUCAAACGACAGAGGUGAAAUUCUUGGACCGUUUGAAGACAAACUACUGCGAAAGCAUUUGCCAAGAAUGUUUUCAUCG